GACGAACGCUGGCGGCGUGCCUAAUACAUGCAAGUUGAGCGCUGAAGGUUGGUACUUGUACCAACUGGAUGAGCAGCGCACGGGUGAGUAACGCGUGGGGAAUCUGCCUUUGAGCGGGGGACAACAUUUGGAAACGAAUGCUAAUACCGCAUAAAAACUUUAAACACAAGUUUUAAGUUUGAAAGAUGCAAUUGCAUCACUCAAAGAUGAUCCCGCGUUGUAUUAGCUAGUUGGUGAGGUAAAGGCUCACCAAGGCGAUGAUACAUAGCCGACCUGAGAGGGGGAUAGGCCACAUUGGGACUGAGACACGGCACAAACGCCUACGGGAGGCAGCAGUAGGGAAUCGUCGGCAAGGGACGAAAGGCUGAGCGAGAAACGCCGCGUGAGUGAAGAAGGUUUUCGGAUCGUAAAACUCUGUUGGUAGAGAAGAACGUUGGUGAGAGUGGAAAGCUCAUCAAGUGACGGUAACUACCCAGAAAGGGACGGCUAACUACGUG
rnacentral:rRNA from 1 species